UCCAGCUCUUAGCAGCUCAUUCUUUAAAGUCUGGACAUGAAUUCCUGCUUCCUGUCGCAAGGGUUUCAAUUCCAAUUUUUCAUCAAACGCUGGUUAAACUUUGGCAAACUAGGAGCUCCUAAACUUUUGUCAAUCCAAUGGGUGAGAAACCCGAAGUUCAAACUGCAUUUCUGAUGGACAUAGAGGGAGAGAGGGACAGACCUUGGGUGGAGACCUGCUUUUUCAUCAUCUCUAAACAAGGUUUUAAAGGACCAAAAGAUAGCUCCAUCCGUAGGACUGUCCUGCCUCAAGACAGCUGGCCCUGCGAUGCUCCCUGUCAGAGAACAGGUGGCUUCUUUUGACACCGAGAAACUCAACUUCUGGUUAUUUGAUUGAGAUCAAUUUUCACCUGGGAGACAGAGCUUGCCUCAUCCCCAAUGCUGUAUUUGUCGACGGGAAUGAGGUCUACAACCUACAAAGCAAAAACAUCAGCACAGGGACCAAUACCAUGGGCCCUCAGAGAGGUUCCCAAAGUGCCCUCAGUCCUCUACUAGAGGCACAGGUUGCUUACGUUCUCUGCAGACCCCAGACAUCACUCCCAUAAUCCCAACACAACAGUCUGUUAACUGAGGAAAGCAUGCUGCACUGGAAAGACACUCACGCAAACAGCAUGGUAUUUCAUCAGACGGGAGCUAUGCAACUCAGGAUGGCAGGCGGGAACAAAGCAGAGCAUUGACUGGGGAGGAGAAGGCUUGGACCAAGAACCUCAUCAACUGCAUAAGGACUGGGCAGGUCUACAGUCAGAGUAAAGCUGGGGCAGGAGCGCUGGCUGGCAAACUGGGUUUGGUAUGCCCACUAGGAGGCCUCUUAGCCUUUAGUGCUUAGUAUGGAUUUGUGUAUGAAGAGCUCCUGCUCAUUUAUUUCUUCAUAAUUAAAAAAAACUAUCCAUAAUGCACCCACUGUGUGACAGAUAGUAUUCCAG